rnacentral:rRNA from 1 species
UAGGGAAUCUUCGGCAAUGGACGAAAGUCUGACCGAGCAACGCCGCGUGAGUGAAGAAGGUUUUCGGAUCGUAAAACUCUGUUGUUAGAGAAGAACAAGGACGUUAGUAACUGAACGUCCCCUGACGGUAUCUAACCAGAAAGCCACGGCUAACUACGUGCCAGCAGCCGCGGUAAUACGUAGGUGGCAAGCGUUGUCCGGAUUUAUUGGGCGUAAAGCGAGCGCAGGCGGUUUCUUAAGUCUGAUGUGAAAGCCCCCGGCUCAACCGGGGAGGGUCAUUGGGAACUGGGAGACUAGAGUGCAGAAGAGGAGAGUGGAAUUCCAUGUGUAGCGGUGAAAUGCGUAGAUAUAUGGAGGAACACCAGUGGCGAAGGCGGCUCUCUGGUCUGUAACUGACGCUGAGGCUAGAAAGCGUGGGGAGCAAACAGG